rnacentral:lncRNA from 1 species
UUUUUUUUUUUUUUAAAGCUUUUGAGUAUUGUCUUCAUCAAAUUCCAGCUCCUUGUCUGUCCUGGCUCUAUUUGCACUGCACGAGCAAUGUCUCCACCUGCAAGGCCUAGAAAGCAGGCUCAAUAUGUCCAAAGCCAACCUCUGCUGUGCUCCAGCCCCCAGCAACCAUCCACCCAUCGGCUCUUCCCCUGGUCCUCCCAGCGUGAUCAAUGGCAACUAGCCUUCCCUCGAGGUGCUCAGGCUGGACACCUUGGAGACAUCCUGGAAGCCUUGGUCUCACCCUCCACCUGCCCUUCCUUCCACACAUCGUAUGGCGAUGUAAGAAACAGCUUAUCAUCUCUCCUACCUCCAUCAGCCACCAAGGCCCAGGCCACCAGCGUCUCUUACCUGGAUGACUGCAGUGCCUCUCAGCUGUCUCCCACUGUCACCCUUGCACGACAGGCCAGGCUGCUUCUUGAAAAGCCUGCGUUAAAACAAUAGUUCUGAGGCUCUCGGGCUCAGAAGCUUUCAGGGCUUUCCCAUCUUCCUCCGUGUAAAAGCUCAAGACUUGACAGUAUUGAUGUGGCCCCUCCGCCUUCAUCUUUGACCUCCCCCCCCUCCCCCCCCCUUGGUGUGUGGGUGGUGGGGGGUCUUCCUCAUUCGCUGCCCUCUGGCUACAGGGGCCUCCUUUUUUUCCUUCAAGAAGCAAAAUGGCUCCCACCUGAGGGCAUUUGUGCUUGUCAUCUACUCUGCCCCGAGCUCUGUCCCCAGGGAUCCCUCCUCACUUUCCAGUCCUGCUCGCCUGUUGCCAUUCCAGAGGUGUUCUUCCCGACCAGCCUCGGUGAAGCUGUGACCCUCCAUGCACUCGCUGCAGAGCUCUGGUACAACACAGAUCACGACCCAGUUACGUUCUGUCUCUUCCGCUGUGGCCUGAAUUCCCAAAAAACAAGUGCUGUCAUCUUUAGAUUCCCCGCCUAGCACACUGCCUUGUUCCCAGGAGGAGUGAAACAGCUGUCAACUGAAAAAAAAGAUGCUCAACUUCAAAGUUGAGAAUUGGGAAUUCCUUGAUGGCUCAGUGGGUUAGGGAGCUGGCGUUGUCAGAUACCGGUUCGAUCCCUGGCCCAGGAUCUUCUACAUGCUGCAAGCGUAGCCAAAAAAAUAAAUAAAUAAAACAAACUGGAAAAAAAAGCUCGAGAAUUAUGUUUCAUUCAGUGGACUUACUGAGGACUUAAGUCCAGGAUACAGCUUCUCAGAUAGCUCAGAGAGGCUCUUCCUGAAUAGGUAAGACAGAAGUCAGGAUAUGUAAGAGUUUUUGUAAAAAAGCAAAAAAAAGCCCACGACAUCAAAACCACAAACAGGAGUUUCUGCUUUGGCACGAUGGGAUUGGCGGCAUCUCUGCAGCACCAGGAUGAAAGUUCGAUCCCCAGCCCAGCAUGCUGGGUUAACAGGAUCUGGCGUUGCCACAGCUCUGUGACAGAGCACACCUGUGGCCUGGAUCUGAUCCCUGGCCCUUAUGUCCUGGGGCAGCCAAAAAAGAAGGGGGACGGGGGGAAUAGGUGGUCAGAAUAUCAAAAGAUUACUAUUAAAGAAAACCAUACAUCUCAAGUUAAUGAACUUAAUACUCUUGUACUUACAUAAAGAUACAAUAGUCUAGGCUUAUUGAAUUAUUUCUUUGAUAUUCACCUUAACUGUAUCUGGCCAAUACCCAAUUUUCCUCCAUCCUGAAUCCCCUCAGUGCAGUCAGGGGUGGCUGCAGUGGCUCAUGGCUUGGUGGACUCAACAUUAUUAAUUUACUGAAAUGGCAGGCAUCAUUCUACGUCCAUAAUGUUUCCUCUUGGUCCUAAAUUCGACCAUUGUUUGGGAUGCAUUUCAUAACCAAUUUUGUCCCAUGGUGCUAGGAAGGCUCAUUCCUACAUCAGGCAAAGACUCUGAUAUGCCAUUCAAUCUGCCCAUUUUUUGGAUGAGGCUCUAUGGAUCAUCUAAAAUUCUCUGCAUCACCCGUCUUACUAGUCUCUUAGGAUCUAGUAAAUGUUUUCCCUUAUUGCUUCUUCCCAUACCUAGAGUUACACUAUUACCAUUAUUCUAUGUAGAUGUGUGAUCAGCUGCCUCAAGACUUUCAACCAUCAUUAAUUUUGUCAGCGGCCUGGUUACAUGUUGGGUAAUGUGAGAGUAAUGAUCAUAUAAAACAGAAAAGACACAGGUAAUAGAGUUAGUAACAUUAAGUCAUGGUAGGUCAGAGAGAAACACAAGGUACAAGUACUUUGAAAAUAGUAAGAGAGCAAAUUACAACAAUGAUUCGUAUAACUAGUUUAAAUCUGGUUGCAACAAGCCAUCAAGUCCACAGGGGAGCCAGCUAGAGAAGCCAAAUUCUGGAAGCAUCAGGUAGAGAGAAAAAGACCAAGGUUUCAUCAUCAUCAUUUACAAAGGUAUACUUUAUCAACUUGUUAUAGAUCAUAGUUUGCAUAGAGGAACUAUUUUCUGGAAAAGAUUAAAAGCCAGUAUAUUUCAGGAGUCAGAAAAUUGUCAUACUUAUCAAGUCAUUCAAUUCUUUGUGAC